ACUUCCAGGCAGGGCCUCGAGGAAGUAGGUGAGCUUCUCCAUCCCUGUCUGUCUAGAUGCAGAGAACCCAAAGCCCUGCAGGAUGGCAAAGCUGCAACAUGGAAGUCACCCGGAUCACCACGUAAAGGAAAUCUCUCCAACCAGGAACAAACACCUGCCUUGCAAUAUUAGGUGUCUGCCUCCUGCCCCGGUCCACAGCCAGGAGCCCCGGAGCCAACGGCCAGCCUGGAAGACUUACAGUUCUCCCUCUGAGGGUUGCUGUGGCUUUCCAUGUUGUGGUGACUAAGUCCCUGUGUUUCUGUGCAGUCCCUGCUUCCUGGGACCAGGGAAGAAUGGUCCCGUGGCCACCAGACUUUCUCUGCUUGUAUCCUCCCAGGACCACAGAACUCAUCGCAUCCCAAGGCAGCCUAUUCCAUCAUGGAUGAGCUCAAAGUGUUUGAAAGUUCUGCUUUAUCAAGUGAGCCAAACUUCCUCCCUCAGGACCAUCCACUCCAGGGCCCAGUUAUUCUACUGGAGGAGUGAGGGUAAAGCCAUCACCAGGACAACCUUGGUGACAGGCUGGACUGGCAGCCAGCUUUUGGGGAUGACUUCAGGGAACCCUGAAUAGCCAUGGGAGCCAAAUGUAUUACUCCUCUGAUGCCUACAAUUCCACUAUAAUAGUCUGGUGGGCUUCUGUUAGGGAGGCUUAUACAUGGUGGAAAGAAUAAAGGCUUGGACUCAGCCUAGGUUCAAGUACUGCAUCUUGACCUGGCCUGUAGGCAAGUCUUUUCACUUCUCUGAGUUUUGGCUUUCUCAUUUGUCCAAUAGGAAUAACAAUAAUGAUAAUAAUAAUACCUCCCAUGCAGGAUUGCUAGUAUGUUCAAUGGGAUAAUAUAUCUAAACACCUCACACAAUGCCUGGCACAUAGCAGGUGUUCAAUUAGGUCUGUAUUAAAAUCCAGGCUCUGUCUCUUAUUA
rnacentral:lncRNA from 1 species